AGCUUUGCGCAGUGGCGAUAUCGUAACCAAUGAGGUACAAUCCGAGGUGCGAUUAUUGCUAGUUUAAAAAAAAUAAUAUUUUAUCAACACUUUGUAGGUCUUAUAGUUUUCGAACUAGAAAUUUUUGUUAAAAAUUAAGA